CCGCCGCCGCCUUCCUCCGCCCCUCGCCACAACCUCGGGAUGGGAGCUAACAAGAGGAAGGCAGAAACUGGUUGUGCAGUUUGCUGUGAGGUUCAUGGCCCCUCAAGGACCAGAUAGUCAGGCUUGUAAGAGCUGCAGGAAAAAGAGAAAGUCUGGAUCUGAAACUUUCCCCAUCAGGCACACCCACUGAUAGUAAAAAUGUCACCAGCUGAGUUUUUGCUUGUUAGGCACCACCGCUUAGAAGAUGCUACAUGCAAUGAUGUUAUCUAUAACAUGCUUUUUUUUACGUAUGAAAGGCAUAGUAACAUUAAUAUUCUCUUUUUAAAAGAAUAUUAUAGCAAUAACAGCUAAAGCAAUAUAACAGCCAGUUAAUAAUAAUGUAUCAACUGAUGGGUCUGGAUUCAAAACAGCUAACUGAGACAAACUUGUGACUCUCUGAAAUGCUGAAAUAUUUGGUCCUCCUUCUCCUCCCCCCCCCUGCUUUAUUUGCCCUUUUCAUGUUGCCAACUUGUAGAGACAGACUAACUUGGCUACUUGUUUCAGAGCAACUAGCGACUUUGUCACUUUUUGUAUGUAAGAAGCAAUCUUUUUCUGACAACUGCUAAAUUUAUUGCUUUGGGAAGGUAAUUUUGAAGAUAUUGUGAGAUUUGGGGCUAUUUUUGUAUUGUCUUUUCUUUUUUAUGUUAGUACCAUGUUAA